GCCUAUGGCCACACUGCUCAGGGUGUGCCUGAUCUUUGUAGCUAAGCAGCGCUGGGCCUGGUCAGUACCUGGAUAUGAGAUUGUCUGCGAACACCAUAUGCUGUAGGUU
rnacentral:rRNA from 1 species